GACGAACGCUGGCGGCGUGCUUAACACAUGCAAGUCGAACGAAGAGCGAUGGACGCUUGCUUCUAUCAAUAUUAGUGGCGAACGGGUGAGUAACGCGUAAUCAACCUGCCCCUCAGAGGGGCACAACAGUUGGAAACGACUGCUAAUACCGCAUACGAUCUAAUCUCGGCAUCGAGGAUAGUUGAAAGGUGGUCUUUACAUGUAAGCUAUCACUGCAGGAGGGUAUUGCGUCUGAUUAGCUAGUUGGUGGGGUAACGGCCCACCAAGGCGAUGAUCAGUAGCCGGUCUGAGAGGAUGGACGGCCGCAUUGAGACUGAGACACGGCUCAGACUCCUACGGGAGGCAGCAGUGGGGAAUCUUCCGCAAUGGACGAAAGUCUGACGGAGCAACGCCGCGUGAGUGAUGACGGCCUUCGGGUUGUAAAGCUCUGUUAAUCGGGACGAAAGGCCUUCUUGCGAAUAGUGAGAAGGAUUGACGGUACCGGAAUAGAAAGCCACGGCUAACUACGUG
rnacentral:rRNA from 1 species